CCAACAGCGACUUGUGACUGGUAAACGAGCGUUGGUCUAAAAAUAUUGGUUGCUACGGAAGUAGAAGACAUCCUUUCAGUUUUGUUGGUCCGCGGUUUGUCUGCAAGGUGCUCUAUGCUGCUGUACCCCAGGCUGGGGUGGCCCUCUCGAUGGUGUCCCCCACCAUGAAGGCCCUGGUGGAUGUAUUCUGGGUGGUGUGGAGCAUUGGUGCCUCCAUCUACGACUACCUGAACACCAGCGCCAUGGAGGAGCGCAUCCACACGCUGGAGAACACCAUCACCUUCCACCAGUGUGUCAUUGGCUUGCUGACUGUGGGCCUGGCCUUGCUCUUCACCUACAUCCUGCUGAGGAAGCGCUGAGGCAGCACCGGAGGGGUAUGGGAUCACAGUCCGGACUCACCACGCGCUGAGGGGAUGGGGGUAUGUCAGCACCAGAGGGAUAUGGGAUCAGGACCUGCACUCACCGUACUCUGAGGGAACAGGAGUAUGUCAGCACCUGGGGGGGAUAUAGGAUCACAGCCCAAACUCGCCGUACUCUGAGGGAACAGGAGUAUGUCGGCACCAGGAAGAUAUGGGAUCACAGCCCAAACUCACCACUGGCCGAGGGAACAGGAGUAUGCCGGCACCAGGGGGAUAUAGGAUCACUGCCUAGACUCCCUACAUGCCGGCUUAACUGGUUACACACAAGAGGCGGUGGCUUAGGUUUUGUGUAAAAAGGGUGUGUGUGUCUAUUUGUGUGUGUGUUUGUGUGUGUGUGUGUGUGUGUGCGCGCGCGCGUGCGUGUGAUGGGCUAUGACCAGUCGCCUCCAUUAGCUGCCUGAAGUUUGUCAUCUUAUCAAGCGAUUUCAGAAGAUUUGCAUAGACUAUACAGUACGGUUGUAGGAAGAAAAGAACACAAGUUUGCACUUGACCUUACUCAGCCAGCCUGGUGUGGCGUAUCUAAAACUGGCUUGCCUUCCUUUAAAGGAAGAAGAAAAUGCAUUUGAAGCACUUUGAUCGCAAAUGCAAAUUCCGGCGGUCCUGAUUGAUGUGUAACACUAACUCAGGGGAAGGGGGAAUCCUGGUACGGAGCCAGAUGGAGCCGAAGAUGUGGACCUAGGACUCGGAGACGCACCUGGGGGGCCAGUGUCUGUGCGGUAGACUUCCUGAAACCAGGGGGCUCAUUCCAUUUGCUUACUUUAUUGGUCUUUGCCUGACCCAGAAGUCAAUUGAGGUCCGCCAUCUUUAUAGGUACAAUAUGUAAUUUUGGACUCCUAACGGUCAAGAGAGGAAUUGCAGCAACAAACACCCUCAAACCACAACACUGUUUAUCCCUCCCCCUUCUCUGUGAACGCACUGACGUUGCCAAUGGCUGUGGCAAUUAGAACCAUUUUCAUUUUCAACCAACGAGCUUGAAUUAUUGUACAACUGUACAAUGCUUUGGUACAGUGUCAGUGCAUCAACUCUAUAUUUUGAAACCUGAACUUAAGGACUAUAAACACAGGCAGAGGGUGAGUCAACAUGUCAGUGAGACUUGUUAAGAAGGGAUUUACAAUGGCCUUAUAAUGUUUUAACAUAAAAACCUAUGGUUUUACCUAUGGUACCUUUAAGGUCAUUCCAAUCUGUUAAAUGCUUCUUGAAGGGGUAAGGAGGCUUCAGAGAGGAUACAGGAGCACCUCCAAGGCAGAAGUUUUUUUCGUUUUUUUCAAAACGUGCAAAAUAUAAAUGAUUGACCUGUGGAUCCACCUCUUCCCAUCUGUGACAUUCUGUAAAUGACAUGGUUUUAAACGGACGCUUGACUUAAAAAUGGACGUUCCUUUUGCCUGAUCCUGUCCACGUUUUCUCGAUUCCUCCGGCCUCGUGUCCUUUCCUUGCCUUCCUUUCCUAACGAGCGAGGAAAGGACACGAGUAAAGGACACAAGGAGUGAAAAUAAGCGGUUGGAAAGUGCCCGGGGGACAGGCAGCUCCUGCCCCCUCGCCCUCAAUGCUGGAUGACCCCCGGCAUGGCACCCAGUGGGAGGAGUCCCCAAAUCUUUAGGCUCCAGUGUGGAGGGGCGACAGACGGGCCCCACUCUGCUACCACCUGAGCGCCUGUGUCGCAAGCCACACGGAAUUACAUUUUAAUUAAUUAAAUUAACAUAAUAAUGAUUAACUCUGCUACUGUGGGGCAAAAUACAUGGAAACGCAGACCUGCAAACCAAAAUAAUUGGUUUGAAAAAAUUGACUCAUUUUAUUCCAGACAUUCAACAAGUUGUAAUGUUCAUAAAGGGUUUAGGGAACAAUUUUUAUGACUCAAAAACAGGAAAAUGUAUUUAAAGUGACCUUAAUCAUUGUAAAUAUGUGGCCACACAUAUAUUGGAUUGGGGGUGGUAAUAUGUGACAUCCAUGCUAUCCGUUUCCUCCUUAUUUAUUCCCUGCACUGUUAAAUGUGCAAACACAUUUUCAUAAUAUGUUUUAACAGUGCAAGGACAUGUAAUCAUUUUAUUAGGUAAACCAGUGAGCGCUUUUGCUGCUUACACUACAUUUGAAUGUAGCUUAUGGUAGAAGUCAAGACGCUGGCUUAUCAUUGUGCUGCUAUGAAAUGCUUAGUGUUUCUCCUCACUGCCAUUGUGACUGCAUUUUCCCAUGUGCUUGUUUCCUAUCAAAAUUCUCAGUAUGUAUCUGUACGAAGGGUCCUAACAAGGGUUCAUGCUUAAAGUGAAAUUGAACACCCAAAAAUGUAAGUACAGGAAUACCUGGAAAUAAUAUUGCCUUUUUCCACAACGCGCUUCAAAAGAUCCUUAAAACUAAAACGAGUCUCUAAAAUUGACCUUUUACAAGGAACUAUGUGUGACAAUUUGUUCAUUUGAAUUUGAUAUCAUAAUUUCAAUAGUAUCCCAAGAAAGGUAUAAGCCUACUAUUAUAACUAUUUUCAAGUAUACUGUUUUGCUUUUAGAGAACCGGCACACAUUUCCGUUUCUGGUUUUGUGCUUGGUCAUUGAAAAUGGGGAAACAGUGCUUGAGUGAGUACUUGAAAGUCCUUGAAUUUCAUGCCAUGUCUGUGUGAACCCAGUGUAUACAUUUUCCCCCGUAUGUACAGUUGUACGAAAUAAAAUGGAGAUUUAACUGAAAAAGAUCAGAAAAUACAAA